GUGUUAAGGGGAGUCAACUUCAAUGUCCAGAACCCUAAUGAUGUAGAUACAUAUGUAAAGCUAGAGUUCCCAUAUCCAUCUGACAACCCUCCCCAAGAUCGUUCCAAUGUGGUGAAGGACACAAACAAUCCAGAAUACAACCACAAGGUAGUCUUUAGUAUUGACCGCAAGGCAAGAGCACUUGCUCGUGUGUUCAAGAGGCAUUCUCUCAAGGUCCAGGUGUGGCUAAGGGUGGUUGGUUCCACCGAGAUACGAUGUUAGGCCAGGUGAAAAUACCUCUGGUGGACUUGGAAACAAAGUGCACCAUACAUGAGUCUUAUGAUUUGAUGGAUGAGAAGAAACGUAUGGUUGGUGGGAAGCUAGAGGUAAAAGUCCGCGUCAGAAAUCCUAUUGUAGCGAAACAGCUCGAAAAGGUCACUGAAAAAUGGUUGGUCAUUGAUGGAUUUUGAGAGAAACAAAUUAGGUUAAUGGAACACUUUUGCAAAUUUUUUUUUUCCCCAUGAAGUUAAUAGGCAUUUUAAAAUCGCUCUCUUUCUUCUUAACAGAUAAAACGUAUCUAGCUUUGAAUUGUUUUAGAAAGGAUUUUACCAAAGUUAGUUUUAUAUGACACUUACAUUGCCGUUUCUUUGUACAGUUUUAUAGAUAACAAACGUGAAAUUUCUCCCAAGGAACAAUGUAACUCAAAACUCAUUUCUCUUGCAGAUUAUAUUUAAUAUGCAUUAUAGUUACCCCAGUGCAUUUUUUAAUCAAGCUUUAUAAUAGGUAACACUUAUUUGUAAAUUAAUCUGUCCUGUCUCAAGCCACUGUCUCAAUAAACAUUAUCUUAUCUG